GGCCGCGCGGCCGUCGUCACUUCCGGGGGCCGGGCGAGGGGGAGCGGCGGACAGCUGCCACUGGAUUUGCAUCUGAGGCCUUUGGAGAGCUGAGUGGAAGACUAAAAGAAAAAAGAGACCAAGUUCAUUACAAAUUCUAUAAAACAUUGAGGAGAGAGCCACUAUUCCCCUUGUGCAAAUGACCCCAGAACAGUUUUGCCCAUUUAAAGGCUUCAGCACAUUGGAGGAGAUGCCUUCUAGAAGUCUGUGGUGGCCAAAGGGAUGGGGCUGCCGGCUGGGGGCUGCUCUUAGCUGCUAGGGGUUGCCCACAGUUCCUGUCCAUGUGGCCCUCCCAGAGAACUUCAAGCAGAGGGAACAGCAAAUGCAAAGGUGCAGAGGCAACUGAGAACAUGGCAAAGGGCCAGGGAACUUCUUCCAAGCAAGCAAUGGAGAGAUAGUCUCUCUAGUAUGUGCUAGCAGGAUGGAACCUUAUGUAUAUCAUUGUAAGUUUAAUCACCUUUACUGGAUUCUAUUGGUUAUAAGCAAGUCAAAGGUCCCACGCACACCCGUGCAGGGUGUGAACAUAGGGGCCACUCUAGAACCUGUCUUCCACAAUUAGCUAUGAUUUAUUGAGAGUUUACUGUGUACCAGAUAUUAUAGUAGGCACUUUCCACUAAUUUAUUUCAUUUAAUCCUCAAACUACCUUAUGAGAUAAAUUCUAUUAGCACUGUUGUGCAGAUUUGAAAACUGAAGGUCAGAGAAACUGGUGUUUGACUUGUUCAAUGACCCACAACCAAUAAAUGACAAAUCUGGGAUUCAAA